rnacentral:rRNA from 1 species
GACGAACCGUCCAAACGUUAUUCGGAAUCACUGGGCUUAAAGGGUGCGUAGGCGGCGCGGCAAGUUGGGUGUGAAAUCCCUCGGCUCAACCGAGGAACUGCGCCCAAAACUGCCGUGCUCGAGGGAGAUAGAGGUGAGCGGAACUUAGGGUGGAGCGGUGAAAUGCGUUGAUAUCCUAAGGAACACCGGUGGCGAAAGCGGCUCACUGGAUCUCUUCUGACGCUGAGGCACGAAAGCUAGGGUAGCGAACGGG